ensembl:lncRNA
GGAGUGUCCAAGUCAAGAGAUGGCUUAACGGGGAUUUCGGGUGCUGUGGACAGGGGGAGUGUCCUAGUCAAGAGAUGGCUUAACGGGGGUUUGGGGCGCUGUGGACAGGGGGAGUGUCCUAGUCAAGAGAUGGCUUAACAGGGGAUUCUGGUGCUGUGGACAGGGGGAGUGUCCUGUCUUGUUGUUGUCCUAGGCUCUAAUGCACGAUAGGUUGGAGUAGCUUGCCAGUCAAACCAGUCAGGACCACGAUAGGUUGGAGGAGCUGCCAGUCAAACCAGUCAGGACCACGAUAGGUUGGAGUAGUUUUCCAGUCAAACCAGUCAGGACCACGAUAGGUUGGAGGAGCUGCCAGUCAAACCAGUCAGGACCACGAUAGGUUGGAGGAGCUGCCAGUCAAACCAGUUACGACCACGAUAGGUUGGAGUAGCUUGCCAGUCAAACCAGUCAGGACCACGAUAGGUUGGAGGAGCUGCCAGUCAAACCAGUUAGGACAUAGGUUGGAGGAGAUGCCAGUCAAAC